AUUGAACGCUGGCGGCAGGCCUAACACAUGCAAGUCGAACGAGACCUUCGGGUCUAGUGGCGCACGGGUGCGUAACGCGUGGGAAUCUGCCCUUCGGUUGGGAAUAACUGAGAGAAAUUUCAGCUAAUACCUUAUAAUGUCUUCGGACCAAAGGUUUAUCGCCGAGGGAUGAGCCCGCGUAGGAUUAGGUAGUGGGUGGGGUAAUGGCCUACCAAGCCGACGAUCCUUAGCUGGUCUGAGAGGAUGAUCAGCCACACUGGGACUGAGACACGGCCCAGACUCCUACGGGAGGCAGCAGUGGGGAAUAUUGGACAAUGGGCGAAAGCCUGAUCCAGCAAUGCCGCGUGAGUGAUGAAGGCCUUAGGGUUGUAAAGCUCUUUUACCCGGGAUGAUAAUGACAGUACCGGGAGAAUAAGCUCCGGCUAACUCCGUGCCAGCAGCCGCCGUAA
rnacentral:rRNA from 1 species